rnacentral:rRNA from 1 species
AUACGGAGGAUGCAAGCGUUAUCCGGAUUUAUUGGGUUUAAAGGGUGCGUAGGCUGUCUGUCAAGUCAGGGGUGAAAUGCCACAGCUUAACUGUGGAACUGCCUUUGAUACUGGCAGGCUGGAAUACGGAUGCCGUGGGAGGAAUGAGUAGUGUAGCGGUGAAAUGCAUAGAUAUUACUCAGAACACCGAUUGCGAAGGCAUCUCACGAAUCCGUCAUUGACGCUGAGGCACGAAAGCGUGGGGAUCAAACAGGAUUAGAUACCCUGGUAGUCCACGCAGUAAACGAUGAUAACUAACCGUUGGCGAUAGACAGUCAGUGGCCAAGCGAAAGCGAUAAGUUAUCCACCUGGGGAGUACGUUCGCAAGAAUGAAACUUAAAGGAAUUGACGGGG